UAAACAUGUGUGCAGAAAGUUGGAAACAUGAAUGGAAGAGCCACGGAAUUUGUUCAGAUUAUCCGGCCGACGAGCCUGCGGAAUACUUCGGCGCUACCUUAACACUUGCCCAAAAUUAUAAUUAUGAUCCAUUAAAAGGCACAAAGGUUGUACCUCGAGAAGAGCCUUAUCCAGCAAUAGAGAUUGUGAAUGCUGUCAAAGAAAAAGUUAAAGCAACUCCCCAAAUUCAAUGCAAUAAAAAGGACGGAACCCUCCAGUUGCUGGAAAUUCGUUUAUGUUUUGCUAGGGCAAAGCCUCCUGGCCCCCCCAUCGACUGCCCACACACAUUUGACCCACAAGGCGUCUGUAAACAGGAGACUGACCUUAUAAAGUUCACUCCUGCACCAACAGAUUCGCAUGGAUAUAACCAGCAUUUCGAGGUAGGAAUGGAUAUGAAGAGUAGUUUCAAGUGAGGACGUAUAACGAAUAAGAAUAUAAAUCUUUGGAGCUAUCUGUACAUAUUUUUGAAAAUAUGAUAAGAAAUAAGCAGCUCCGGCCUUGUACUUUGGACUUUCUUAAUAAAAUCACAUAUAUCUACUAAAUAAUAGAGGUCCAUUUUAUAACAAAUGGAAUUCAUUCUCUAUAAUAGUCAAAUAUAAUGAAUGUAUGUACCUACGUUUUCAACACUAUAUAUAUAUAUGUUUGAACUACACAAAUUAUAGCAUCAAUUUGGAAGCUUCUCUUUACUAUGGUGAUUUAAUUUUUGUAAACUAUUUUUGGUUUGUCUCUUAAUUAAUUUAAGUUGCAUAUAAUUUUAUGAUAGAUAUCCUUUCACUAUAUAUGUUAAUUUUAUAGUAAUUUUCAACUUUCAACUAUUGCCUCUGCAACAACACAAAUUAAUCCAGAUAUAUUAGAAGUGGAUGAAUUUUGGAAUUUGUUAGUUCAAAAAUAUAUGUUCAUGUCUCCUUAGCUAUAUCUGUUUAAGUACAUAUCUUUAUUAAUUACUAUAUAUUUAUUUAACCAUGCCGUCCUCAUGUAGGAGACCCCAAGAACUAGAGUUUUAACACUCCAUCCCGAAAUUUUUAAGUUCAAAUCUUGAUAUGAACAAGACAAAAUUUAUGGGAUGAGAAAAAAUUGGUUUCUUAUCUAUUUACUUAUUUCCUGUGGUUCUUUUUUCGAUUUUGAGUGGAUGGAAUUUGUUUGUAUAUACAAUUUCAUAAUUGUGACAGUGAUGACUCAAUAAUUUCAAAAGCUUAAAAUAAGAUAUUCAAAUGAGACCUUUUUAUUGAAAUCAAAAAACAAAUUUAAAACUUUGAAUAAAUAAAUUUAUAUUUUUGAUUUGACAUAUUUAAAUAUUUAUUAUGAAAUAUAAAAAAUAUUUAACUAUUAUAAUCAUUUUAUAUUUUUUUAAUGGUUAAUAUAAAAUCAACAAUCAAAAUUUCUAAUUUAAUAAAUUAAUUAUCACAUAAAAUAAAGAUAAUAUAAUAAUAUAAUAUAAACUCUAAAUAAAUAUAAAAAAGUAUGUAAAGAUUAGAAUAAUAGUAUCUAAUUGUUGAAUGUUUAUUGUAAAUCGUAAAUGAAGCUCGCAGUUUUAUGAAGAUAAUAAUAUAACAAACUUCUUAUGUAUUAUUUGGAGGAAAUAUGAAAUUAAAAGGAAGAAAGAGCAAAUGACAUAACAAAAAUUUAAGAGUGAAUAUUAUAAAUUAAAAAAAUUGAGAAAUGAUAAAAAAAUUGAGAUUUAUAAAUAAAUAAAUAUCAUUUUAUUAAUUAAUUUUUACUUUUACAUAUUUUUAAUAGAAAAUGAGAUAAUUAGUUCAGAAAUAAUAAGUAUGUGGAAGUAAGAGAAAAUAAAUAUUUAUUAAAUAUGACAAAAUAGAUAAAUAUUUUAUUAAUUAUUUUAAUUUUUAUAUAUAUUUAAUAUAAUUAAUUUUAUUUUUAUUAUUAUUAUAAAAAUAUGUCAUCUUUUCAAAUUUGGGACCUAAAACUCUUAUAUGGGUGGCUUUACCCAAAGACCAAUCCUGAAUUGUGAUCUUUAUAUGUUCUGUCAACGAUAUAUCAACAAUAGGUCAUAUUGACUUUUUUUCUUUAAAAAAAAAAGCCAAAUCAUUGUAUUGAUCAUUGAAUAAUAUCAUCAAAGCCUGAUCCAAUGUUCAUAAAAGUUUUUUUUUUACAGGUAAUGUUAAUAAAAGUUAUCAAGCAAAAGGAUUUAUUUGUUUUGCAUUUGUCCUUUCCAACAUUUUUUUAAUAAUUCUUAAACUCGAAACACUCCAUCCUUAUAUACUGAAUAUCUACUUUAAUAUAUCUAUGUAAAAACAUAAAUUCAUACUUGUUAUUUAUUUCGUAACAACUUUUGAAUUAAAUUUCCAAAAAAACAACAACUUUUGACUUAAAACACAGUAACGUAUCUUUUUUUUUUUUUUUUACUUUAGUAACAUAUCUUUUAUAAUAAAAUAAAUAGGUAUCAACUUUCAGGAACAUAUUUUGUUAUAAUAAAAAAAAAAAUUGUAACAACUUUUAGAUCAAGUGUCCUAUUCAAAGUCUGCACCACCUAAAAUAAAGUCAAGUUUGUGAGUAAAUUAUUUGGAAAGUUUUCAACCUUUAAACCAUUAUUAUGAAAUAUUGAAAAGGAGAAAAAAUAAUCAAAAGACCUAUCCAGUCUUUGUACUCUUCAAGUUUGUUUAAUUUAAUCUUUGUACUUAAAAUCGAAGCAAUUUAAUCUUUUGAUUUUAGAAAUUGCAUCAAUUUAGUCCUCCUCCCUAACAACAUUCAAUUUUACUGUUAAAGAAUGACGUCAAAGAUGACAUCAUUGCUGACGUGUCACAUUUUGAUGAUGUGACAUUGAAAUGAUGACAUGGCAUGUCACGUGGCACUAAGUGAUGACGUGACAAUAUAUGAUGACAUGACAGUGUUGACGAGGCACUAACAUGUUGACAUGUCAGUGUCACGUGACAAAUCAAAAAAUUUUCAAAAAAAAAUUCUGCCACGUCAUAGGAAUUAAAUUGAACAAAAAUAUAUAGUAUAGGGAUUAAAUUGAAUAAAAUUGAGAUGUUGAGAGACUAAAUUGAAAAAAAAAUUAAAAAAUAUAAAUAUUUAAGUAGAUUAUUGAUAUGCUUAUUAAUAAGCUAAAUAUUUAAGUAUAAAAAAUUUAUGAUGUUAAAAACUAUAUAUAAAUAUUUUCUUAUUUGAUUAUUUGAUUCUAAAAUAUGUAAAUUAAUUUAUUUUUUUAUAAAAAUUAAGUUUGAAUUCUCCUUCUAUAAAAAAUUUUUGAAAAAAUUUUAUACCUACAGUCAAAUUUAGAUGAAUAACUUGUAUUAUGUUAAAAUAAAAUAAUAAAAAAUGACUAAAUAAUUUUUUUUCUAUUUAUAAUAGUAUAAAAAUUUAAAAUUUAUUUAACUUAGUUUUUAACUUAAGUUAAAGUCAAAUUAGUAAAAUAUGUUGAUUUAGUUUUUUCUUUUAAAAAAAUAAAAAACGGAGAUAUGGAGUUAGCGAUGAUUAUAAAAAUAAUUCUCUAUUUCGACUUGCUUAAUUUGGAUAUGACAAACCUCUUAUUACAAUAAUAGAAUCUGAACUCCACUUUUUGAAUUAUUUAUUUAUUUUUUAUUUUUUUAUUUUGUUUAAUAUUUCAAGUUAUAUUUUUUUAAGUUAAAAUUUCUUAGAUUAAAAACUAUAAAUAUAACUGUAAAGUUAUAUGGUUGAUAAAGUUAAAUAUAAAUAUAAAUAUUUGUAAUAUUUUAUUUUAUUAAUAAAUUUUUUGUAAAUUCAAAUUAAUAAUUUUAAUUUAAAUUUCGUAGAAUUUGAUUGUGAGAUUUGAAUUUAAAUAAAAUUAUUUUAUAAGAAAUUUUGAGUAAAUUUAAAUAAAAAGUAAAUUGGGUAAGAGUUGAAUAAUUUCAAAAAAAUGUGUGUUUGUAAAUUGUGAAAGUUGUAACUAAAUUAACAUAUUUUGCUAAUUUGAGUAAAUUUAAAUAAAAAGUAAAUUGGUAAGAGUUGAAUAAUUUCAAAAGAACGUGUAUUUGUAAAUUCUAAAAAUUAUAACUAAAUCAACAUAUUUAGUUGUUUUAUAUUAUUUUAUUUUAAUAUAAUGUAAGUUAUUCAUCUAAAUUUGAUUUUAGGUAUGAAAUUUUUUCAAAUCUUUUUUAUAGAAGGAGAAUUCAAACUUAAUUUUUGUAAAAAAGAUAAAUUAAUUUACAUAUUCUAGAAUCAAAUAAUCAAGUAAGAAAAUGUUAAUAUGUAUUUUUUAACACCAUAAAUCUUUUACACUUAAAUAUCGAGCUUAUUAAUAAGCAUAUCAAUAAUCUACUUAAAGAUUUAUAUUUUUUUAAAUAUUUUAUACAAUUUAAUCCUUAACAUCACAAUUUUGUUCAAUUUAAUCUCUGUACCAUAUAUGUUUGUUCAAUUUAAUCCUUAUGACAUUACAAAAAUUUUUUUUAAAAAAAAUUUUUAAUUUACCAUGUGGCACUGACAUGUUGACAUGUCAAUGCCACGUCGACAUUGCUACAUCAUGGUAUAGUGCCACAUGACAUUACCACGUCAUCACUAGGUGCCACGUGGCAUGCCAUAUCAUCAUCUUAAUACCACAUCAUCAAAUGUGACAUGUCACUGAUAAUGUUAUCGUUGAUGUCAUCUUUUAACGACAAAAUUAAAUAUCGUUAGGAAAAAGAUUAAAUUGAGGUAAUUUUUAAAAUUAAUAGAUUAAAUUACUUAAAUUUUGAAUAUAGAGAUUAAAUUGAAUAAAAUUAAAAAAAAUAUAAAAAUUAGAUAAAUCUUUUGAUUAAAAAAUUUUAUAAUAUAUUUAAAAAGAAUGUGAGGCAUUUUUCUCAAAUCACGUGUGAAGGGCAUAGGAAAAAAGAGAAAAAGAAAAAAAAAAAAGAGAAGUAUAAAGAGAAAGAAAAAAGCGGGUAGAAAGAGACUCGAACUCAUCGCAUGGGCCUAGGCUAGUAAUAAAUAAAUCGACUAAAUACACAACAACCAAAGACUGGAAAUUUCCUAGCAAGUUCGCAAACAAGAAAAGUAAAGAAUGACCAGACCAAAUUUAUAGAAGAACAAAAAAAUAAUGAUAAUAAAUUGACCAAUCACACAAUAAAGAAGGACUUUUCCUAAAUAAACUAGCAACAAGGUUCUUUUAACAUCGACCCUCACCUUCUCUCUCUAAAAUAAACAGAUCUAAAAACCUUUCCUCGCUGUUCCAGAGAAAAGGAGAAAGAAAAGAUGGAUAAUCGGUGUCUACUGUUGAUUUAUCUGCUAGCUGCUAUCAUCUUACUUCUUGCAAUAUUAUUCUCAAGGGAUAAUAAAGAGUUCAGCUUCUACAAACUCAGCUUCCGAUGGCCACCUUCUGCAUGUAACCAGGGCAGUCUGGAGUGUAAACCUGAUACCCUUGGGUAUUUUACCAUCCAUGGUUUAUGGCCAAUGUAUGAGGAUGACACGCAAGUGCCUCCAUAUGAUCCCAAAAAGAACAAGUGUACCGAUGUCACUCCUACAGACCCCAAAAAUCUUUUGGUAAGCAAAUUAUUGUUCUUAUAUAUUUAUUUAUUUUGCUUAAAACUAAUUAGAGUAAUUAAAUAACGCAAGGAACCCUCUUUAAUUCCAAACAAAUAAAUCCCAACAUAACUUGAAACCUCACACUAGAGAUUUAAUCACCACAUCAUAAAUUAGUGUCUGAUAAUGUAAGAGUCAGUAUCUAUAACAUCUUCUUUUUUGCUUCUAGUCUAUUUAUUUGUGCUUUUUAAUUAUAUAUUUUUUCUUCAAUUUACAGCCUCUAUUGAAGUCCAUUGAAACGACUUUGCAAAAAUAUUGGCCAAACUAUAAGAACUAUGAAAAUAUAAACAUGUGUGCAGAAAGUUGGAAACAUGAAUGGAAGAACCACGGAAUUUGUUCAGAUUAUCCGGCCGACAAGCCUGUGGAAUACUUCGGCGCUACCUUAACACUUGCCCAAAAUUAUAAUUAUGAUCCAUUGAAAGGCACAAAGGUUGUACCUCGAGAAGAUCCUUAUCCAGCAACAGAGAUUGUGAAUGCUGUCAAAGAAAAAGUUAAAGCAACUCCCCAAAUUCAAUGCAAUAAAAAGGACGGAACCCUCCAAUUGCUGGAAAUUCGUUUAUGUUUUGCUAAGGCGAAGCCUCU
rnacentral:lncRNA from 1 species